GCCUGGGUGGCUCAGUUGGUUGAGUGUCCGACUUCAGCUCAGGUCAUGAUCUCGUGGUUCGUGAGUUCGAACCCCACAUUGGGCU
rnacentral:tRNA from 1 species